UACGAAGGGUGCAAGCGUUACUCGGCCUUACUGGGCGUAAAGCGUGCGUAGGCGGUGCGUUAAGUCUGAUGUGACAUCCCCGGGCUCAACCUGGGAAUGGCAUUGGAUACUGGCUCGCUAGAGUACGGUAGAGGGUGGUGGAAUUCCCGGUGUAGCAGUGAAAUGCGUAGAGAUCGGGAGGAACAUCGGUGGCGAAGGCGGCCACCUGGACCAGUACUGACGCUGAGGCACGAAAGCGUGGGGAGCAAACAGG
rnacentral:rRNA from 1 species